rnacentral:rRNA from 1 species
AUUGAACGCUGGCGGCAGGCCUAACACAUGCAAGUCGAGCGGAGCGGCGGACGGGCGAGUAAUGCCUAGAAAUGUGCCUGGUCGUGGGGGAUAACGUCCGGAAACGGGCGCUAAUACCGCAUACUAUCAGACGAGCCUAGGUCGGAUGAGCUAGCUGGUGGGGUAAAGGCCUACCAAGGCGACGAUCCGUAACUGGUCUGAGAGGAUGAUCAGUCACACUGGGACUGAGACACGGUCCAGACUCCUACGGGAGGCAGCAGUGGGGAAUAUUGGACAAUGGGCGAAAGCCGGAUCCAGCCAUGCCGCGUGUGUGAAGAAGGUCUUCGGAUUGUAAAGCACUUUAAGUUGGGAGGCGUUACCGACAGAAUAAGCACCGGCUAACUUCGUGCCAGCAGCCGCGGUAAUUC